AUAAUUAAGUUUUGGUUAAUCGUUGUUAAGGUUGUUUAGUUUAAUUGCUUUUGUUUUUCUUGUAUUUUGUUUUUCUUGUAUUUUGUUGUCGAUGGACUGCUACCAAGGGUAUUGUGUUUUUCUAGCUCUCUCAAGCUUCUUUUUUUUCCCAAUCCUUGUUCUUCUUGCAUUAUUUUUCUUGUAUUAUAUUGUUUUUCUUCUAAGGUUGGAUCUUCUAUUUUCAGAUUUACGAAAUGAGUUAUGUAAAAUGAUACCACAACUUUAGAUUGAACACUGAUGAGGUAUUUGAUCAUAUUGUCUCAAACCAUUGAGACUUAAAUAUUGCAUAUGAUAUACAGUCCAGAAGGUUCUUGCAAAACUACCUCCGGAAAUUGCAAGAAAAUAUUUUUCCUAAGCUUGUGGAUUGCCUAUUCCUCUUCAAAUCUUUCAUUUACAUGCCAUGUUUGCCUGAUAAGACACAGGCAGAUUUGUCAAGAAAUGCAGCAAAAAAAAGAUUCUUCCAUGGUUUGUUUGUCAGGUUACGUUUUUUCAUAGUUCUCUCGUUUUGUUGCUUAAUCUUCUAUGUUUUUUGAGACAAGCAAAGAGUUUGUGUUGUGAUUCCACUAUUGAAACUUUAGUAGCAUAGGCAUACUCCUCCCCUGCUCGUGCUUGCAAAUUUAUAUGAAUUUGGUAAUAAUUAACUUGGCAGUACUUUUGGAGAUUGCUACUUUUGCAUGAGGAUGAUAAAUUUCUAAUAAUUUGUAGGAAUGGUAACCUCAAAAUUUGGAAAGUGACAUGCCUUGACAGCUUUUGAAGUACUGAAAGAACUUUUUUUUCUUGGUUGAGCUCCAUUUAAGUUCUCCCUUUCCUUGUUCAGUUA